GGGGGUGGUGGGGUGACGGGUUCUAAGGUUAGCGGGUCGGGUUCAAUUGAAGGAUUUGCACAGUGUUUGGGUGAUUUGAGUCCUGAAGAUUGUUCUGCUUGUGUUUCUGAGGCUGUUAUGAAGUUGAAGGACAUGUGUGGUGAUGCUGCUGCUGCUGAUGUUUAUUUGGCUCAGUGUUAUGCUAAAUAUUGGGGUUCGGGUUAUUAUCACUCCUUCGAUCGUACCAAUGACGAUGACGUAGGGAAAACAGUUGCAAUAAUCGUUGGAGUAUUAGCUGGCGUUGCUGUUUUCAUCGUUCUCCUCUCAGUUUGCCGCAAAUCUAUAGGUCAAAUUUC
rnacentral:misc_RNA from 1 species